AUUGAACGCUGGCGGCAGGCCUAACACAUGCCAGUCGAGCGGAUGAAGGGAGCUUGCUCCUGGAUUCAGCGGCGGACGGGUGAGUAAUGCCUAGGAAUCUGCCUGGUAGUGGGGGAUAACGUCCGGAAACGGGCGCUAAUACCGCAUACGUCCUGAGGGAGAAAGUGGGGGAUCUUCGGACCUCACGCUAUCAGAUGAGCCUAGGUCGGAUUAGCUAGUUGGUGGGGUAAAGGCCUACCAAGGCGACGAUCGGUAACUGGUCUAAGAGGAUGAUCAGUCACACUGGAACUGAGACACGGUCCAGACUCCUACGGGAGGCAGCAGUGGGGAAUAUUGGACGAUGGGCGAAAGCCUGAUCCAGCCAUGCCGCGUGUGUGAAGAAGGUCUUCGGAUUGUAAAGCACUUUAAGUUGGGAGGAAGGGCAGUAAGUUAAUACCUUGCUGUUUUGACGUUACCAACAGAAUAAGCACCGGCUAACUUCGUG
rnacentral:rRNA from 1 species